rnacentral:tmRNA from 1 species
GAGGUGAGAUAUUAGUGAAGUUGGCUAAGCAUGUAGAUGCAGCAAGGAAAAGAUUUGCGGACAGGGGUUCGACUCCCCUCGUCUCCACCA